rnacentral:lncRNA from 1 species
CAGGCUCGGAGGCUGGAGAGGCAGCUGGCAGCAGCGGAUGACACUGAAGCCAGCGGCGGCAGGAUAGGAAUGAUGCACUAUCCCAGGACAGAGCUGUGGGCCCCAGCCCUGUAUGAAAUGGAGAUCCCAGAUCCUGAGGGUUCAGGGCUCAUGGUGCCCAUCCUGGGCAUGGAGCAUGAUGAGAAUUCGGGCGAUGCCACACCUCUGGCAGGCUCAACAGCAAAGCUCUAGUUUCUAAAGCCAG